rnacentral:lncRNA from 1 species
GAUGAAAUUAUAUUGCGAGCUUUAAUAUCCAACUGAGCUCGUCUAUUUUCUUCAGCAGUCCAAUUAAAAUAUGGUUUUUCUACCUCUACACCAUCAACUGUGCUCAUAGGGAUAUAAGGACCAUUUUGUACAGCUUCCCAGAUGCCUCUAUCAACAGACCCCAUAAAAAUUUCCAUUCUAAAUUUCCAAAAAGCAUAGUUAUCACCAGUAAAAAAUGGAGGUCUGUUAAUGGAAGCACCCUCAGCAUAUACAAGGUUUUGAUUGUGACCAGCCAUUUUUGCAAAUAUGUUGAAAAAUUAUCAAAGCAAGCUCUGAUACCAAUUGUUAGUAUCGGAGGGGGUAUAGUUCAAAGAGUAUAAUGCAACGGAAUUAAAACUUAGAGUAGCGUAUAAGCGUGUUCGGUCACUGUUAAAACGAAGUUGGUCCUUUUUCGCAAAAUAAUUUUCUUUCAGAAAAUUAAUCN